GACAGUUCGGUCCUUAUCCACUGUGGGCGCAGGAGAAUUGAGGGGUUCAGACUCUAGUACGAGAGGACCGAGUCUGACGAACCGCUGGUGUUCCAGUUGUCGUGUCAACGGCAGUGCUGGGUAGCUAUGUUCGGAAAGGAUAAGCGCUGAAAGCAUCUAAGCGCCAAGCCUAUCCCAAGAUGAGUUCUCCCUGAAGAGUCGUGGUAGACCACCACGUUGAUAGGUUACUGGUGUAAGCGUGGUAACACGUUCAGCUAAGUAAUACUAAUAACUCGUUCGGCUUGGUCAUUUA
rnacentral:rRNA from 1 species